GACGAACGCUGGCGGCGUGCCUAAUACAUGCAAGUAGAACGCUGAAGGAAGGAGCUUGCUCUUUCUGGAUGAGUUGCGAACGGGUGAGUAACGCGUAGGUAACCUGCCUGGUAGCGGGGGAUAACUAUUGGAAACGAUAGCUAAUACCGCAUAAAAUUGAUUAUUGCAUGAUAGUCAAUUAAAAGGUGCAACUGCACCACUACCAGAUGGACCUGCGUUGUAUUAGCUAGUUGGUGGGGUAACGGCUCACCAAGGCGACGAUACAUAGCCGACCUGAGAGGGUGAUCGGCCACACUGGGACUGAGACACGGCCCAGACUCCUACGGGAGGCAGCAGUAGGGAAUCUUCGGCAAUGGGCGGAAGUCUGACCGAGCAACGCCGCGUGAGUGAAGAAGGUUUUCGGAUCGUAAAGCUCUGUUGUAAGAGAAGAACGAGUGUGAGAGUGGAAAGUUCACACUGUGACGGUAUCUUACCAGAAAGGGACGGCUAACUACGUG
rnacentral:rRNA from 1 species